ACUGGGUGGCGUGCUCCUGUAGUCCCACACAGGACGCUGAGACAGGAGGAGCACUUCAGUCGGGGAGUUCUGGGCUGUAGUGCGCAAUGCCUAUGGGCGUCCCACGAAGUUCCACAUCAAUAUGGCAACCUCCCGGGAGUGGGGGGACCACCAGGUUGCCUAAGGAGGGAUGAACCGGCCCAGGUCGGAAACAGAGCAGGUCAAAACUCCCGUGCUGAUCAGUAGUGGGAUCAUGCCUGUGAAUAGCCACUGCACUCUAGCCUGGCCAACAUAGCAAGACCCCAUCUCU
rnacentral:SRP_RNA from 1 species